AUGACAACUAAUGAUAUCACAAUAGAAGUAAUUGAUAAGAUAUGUAAUAUAGACUGCAGGAAGACAGUGGCUGCAAAGAAGACAAAAGAGCCACUGGAGUUGAUCUACUUUGGGCUCCAGAUCAAUAUGAAAAGUGGAAAGUAUGUGCUGGGGUACAAGCAGACUCUGUUAAUGAUCAGACAUGGCAAAGUGAAACUGAUCAUCCUCACCAACUCCCAGCCUUGAGGAAAUCAGAAACAGAGUGUUGUGCCAUGUUGGCCAUAACUGGUGUCCAUCACUCAGUGGCAGUAGUAUUGAAUUGGGCACAGAAAGUGGAAAGUACUGUGGAGUAUGCGCACUGGCUCUCAUCGAUCAGGUGAUUUUGAUAUCAUUGGAAGCAUGCCAGGACAGACCGGUGAAAAGUGAGUCAUACAAGACUUUUUCUUUAAUAAAACUGGCCAGAGCUUGCUUAAAAAAAAAAAAAGAAAAAAAAAAGUUUUGAGUAAGUGGAGGGUAGCAUUUCAGAGGUCAGGCUGUGAGGUCAAUAAGCUUGGGUUUGAAUCGUGGUUUUAUCACAAAUUUCCUGUGUGACUUUGGCAACUUACCUUUGCUAAACAGAAAUUUACUGAUAUGUAAUAUAAGUUUUUGUUAAUAAUGGUAACAAUCCUCAGAAAUAUUUUGAAUGAUUAACUGUUGUUACUAAUAAUAACAACAUACAUUAUGGAUUUGUAAGUUGAUAGGGAUAUUGUAGUGAAAAGCCAGCAUUCUUCCAAAUCAUAUCAGAUAGCAAGUGUUGUGCAGAGAAUGAAACUAGUGUGAUGUGAUCAAGGAUGACUGAGUAGAUACUUUAGAUUGGGUCAUCAGGCAAGAGCUCUCUGAGCGAGUGAAUCUGAGUUGACGCCUGAAGGAAGAAGCCAUCCAUGUUGAGAUCUGGGAAUGUGGUAAGCCCUUGUAGAGCUUUGUGUCUGCAAGAAACAAGUCCAGUGUGGCUGCAGCACAGCAGGACGGUGUUAUGACAUGAAGUGUGAGACACAGGCAGGAGUCAGACCACAUAGGACUUGGUAAAUCAGGAUAAGAGCUUGGGUUUUAUUGUGAGUUUGGGGGGAAAAGCCAUUGAAGGUUUUAGUGACAUGGUCUGGUUUGUAGUUUUUAAAUAUUGUGGGUUGCUCUAUGGAGAAGAGAUUGUAGUGGGAGGGCAAGAGUAGCAGCAGGUGAGCAGUUUGGAGACUGUGGCCAUGGUCAGGGCGGAGAUCAGGCAGCUUAGACUAGGACAGAAGUAAUUUACGCAGAGAAGUAGAUGCAUUGGGGAUAUGUUUCAGGGGUAGAGUUGAUGAAAUUUGCUUGUAGGUUACCUGUGAAGGAAUUGAGGAAAGGGAGACAUUAAGGGUAAUGACCUAGAUUUUUGGCCUGAGCAGCUGGAUAAAUGGUGGUUUACUGAGAUGGGAAAACUGAGCAAAGAGCAGGUUUGUGGGGAAUUCAGUUCUGUUGGAUGUUACGUGUUGCGGUAUCUAUUGAACACUGGAUUAGAGUUCCUCAGGCAGUGGUUAGCUCCAAGUAAGCAGUCAAACCAACUGUGGCUGAUUGAAGCAGGAAAAUUCCUUAUUGAGACAACCUUUGAUAGCUCACAAAUCACCAGGAAAGUUAAGUUUACAAGCUUGGAAAAUAGGCUGUUCCCAGGGAGGUGAGGAGCUCAGAAUCUCCCUGUAGAACUGGUCUGGUGAGGACCCUGCUGUUGCCUCCUGCUGUUGAAAUCGGCAGUUUGCUCUCUUAACAUCCCGCCACUAGCACCCAUGGCAUUAAUUCCUCACUGCCCUGCUUCUUUGCAUAAUUAGCUAAAUCUUCAGUCCCCAGUGGGUGUAUCUGAUUUACUGAGCCAGGGCAUGGGCUAGAUGCCAGGAGUGCUGGGGACACAAAUAUCUGGCCUUUUAGAUUUCUCAGAAGCAGUCUCCCACAACACUCACAUGGUGAGAAAGUCCUUGAACUCUGAAAGGAGGGGGAAGAAAAACCACACGCACACACAUAAGAAUAUAAACAACAAAUCUGCAUUAUCAACAUCCUUAUGGAGAUGUAGAGAUGGCAGAUAGGCAGCUGGAUUUACGAGUCUGGAGUUCUAGGGAGAGGUCAGGGCCAGAAUAUUGAUAGGAAAGCAUCUGGCACAGAGAUGGUGUUUAAUGCCAUGAAUGGGGGCAUUUAGAGAAGACAAGGGGGCUCAGGCUGGAGUCAGCGGGGGAAGAAGAUCCAGUUAACAGAGGUUGAAGUAGGAAGAAAGCCGGGAGAAAGUGGUAUUUCUUUUGAGACAGGAGAAAGUCUUUCGAGGAGGGAGUGGUCAGCUGUGUCAAAUGCUGCCGAGAGUUGAAGGUAAGACGGCAUAAAACAUAAAGACACAGAUGGCAGUGCCUUACGUUGGUUUUCAGAUCCUCGAGUAUAUUACUUCGUACCUCAAGUGGUCUCAUCAACCCAUUCGGUAAACACUCAUUAUUGAAUAUAUAUUACAUGCCAGCACAGUGAUACAAAAAGCUUAUGGUCUAGGGCAGGGACCCCUAAGCUUUAGUGACUGUAAGAAUUUUCAGGAGAGUUUGUUAAAAGACAGAUUCUUGGGCUGCAUUCCCAGGUGUUUUAGUAUCUACUUUUUUUU